rnacentral:rRNA from 1 species
CGGAGGGUGCAAACGUUGCUCGGAAUCAUUGGGCGUAAAGCGCACGUAGGCGGCGAAAUAAGUUGGGUGUGAAAGCCCUGGGCUCAACCCAGGAAGUGCAUUCAAAACUGUUUCGCUUGAAUCUCGGAGGGGGUCAGAGAAUUCCCGGUGUAGAGGUGAAAUUCGUAGAUAUCGGGAGGAAUACCAGUGGCGAAGGCGCUGACCUGGACGAAGAUUGACGCUGAGGUGCGAAAGCGCGGGGAGCAAACAGGAUUAGAUACCCUGGUAGUCCGCGCUGUAAACGAUGAGUGCUAGACGGUGGAGGUAUUGACCCCUUCGCUGCUGAAGCUAACGCGUUAAGCACUCCGCCUGGGGAGUACGGUCGCAAGACUA